GCCAAUCCAGUCUCAAGGAACGCAUUUCCCUCCUCACCUUUGCUUCGGCGUUCGGUCUCCAACCUGGCUCUACGUCCGACAGAGACACUUCCUUGCUCGAAUAAAGAUUCAAUUCAGGAUGUAAUGCCUGUGGUGUUUUGAGUGACUAGCCUAGUGGAUCCUGUCUGAGCAGCUAUCCAAGAAGGCAAGCAACAAAGAUGUCCAGUCUGCCCUGCAAGGAGAGGGAGUUGAUGUAGCCUCCACUGUGCCACUUCUCUUGGCCCACUUCAAGGAGGACAAGGAAGGACUUCUCCUUCAAGCUGAUGCAGGUGCAUCAGCUGCUGAUGUCGAAGAGGCACUUACCCUGCCUGCCAGUCCUCGGUUGAUACUGGUUGGUGAUACUCCG